UGAACAUCACUGAAGACUUCAUGGAAAGAAAACAUGUAAAGUGAAGCCAGUUUUUGGUUUUGUCUUCUUGACUGCAACAUCUGGGCUGAUAUCUUGCUAAUAUCACGUUACACCCACCUGCCCCAGUCCUGGAUUGGGAUGCGUGAACAUUCUGUUUUUGGCUUCUGUGGGAGAGCUAUUAAGGUGAAUAUUGAAGCUUAAAUGGAAUUUGGAAAUAAGAGGAAUAUUUCAUUUUGAGCAAGGAU
rnacentral:lncRNA from 1 species